rnacentral:rRNA from 1 species
CGACUCGGGGAGGUAGUGACGAAAAAUAACAAUUCAAGACUCUUAACGAGGCCUUGAAGUUGGAAUGAGUACACUUUAAAACUUUUAACGAGUAACUAUUGGAGGGCAAGUCUGGUGCCAGCAGCCGCGGUAAUUCCAGCUCCAAUAGCGUAUACUAAAGUUGUUGCGGUUAAAAAGCUCGUAGUUGGAUCUUGGAAUGUGUUCAAGCGGGUCAGCUUCUGGCUGUGCGCUGCUUGACGUGUUCUUCUAUUUGGUUUUGGUGCGGUGCGCUUAACUGCGUGUCGCUCCCGGCCGAAACGUUUACCUUGAAAAAAUUAGAGUGUUCAAAGCAGACCUGUUUGAGUCUGAAUAUUCGUGCAUGGAAUAAUGAAAUAUGAAUUCGGUUCUAUUUUGUUGGUUUUCGGAACUCGAGUUAAUGAUCAAGAGGGACAGACGGGGGCAUUCGUACUCUGCCGUUAGAGGUGAAAUUCUUGGAUCGGCGGAAGACGCGCAACUGCGAAAGCAUUUGCCAAGAAUGUUUUCUUUAAUCAAGAACGAUAGUCGGAGGUUCGAAGACGAUCAGAUACCGUCCUAGUUUCGACUGUAAACUAUGCCAGCUAACGAUCAGACAGAGUUCUCUACGACUUGUCUGGCAGUUUCCGGGAAACCAAAGCGUUUGGGUUCCGGGGGAAGUAUGGUUGCAAAGCUGAAACUUAAAGGAAUUGACGGAAGGGCACCACCAAGAGUGGAGCCUG